rnacentral:rRNA from 1 species
GGGUUAAGUCCCGCAACGAGCGCAACCCUCGCCCUUAGUUGCCAUCAUUCAGUUGGGCACUCUAAGGGGACUGCCGGUGAUAAGCCGAGAGGAAGGUGGGGAUGAACGUCAAGUCCUCAUGGCCCUUACGGGCUGGGCUACACACGUGCUACAAUGGUGGUGACAGUGGGCAGCGAGACCGCGAGGUCGAGCUAAUCUCCAAAAGCCAUCUCAGUUCGGAUUGCACUCUGCAACUCGAGUGCAUGAAGUUGGAAUCGCUAGUAAUCGCGGAUCAGCAUGCCGCGGUGAAUACGUUCCCGGGCCUU